rnacentral:rRNA from 1 species
UUAUUAAUAACCCCAAAUACACUAAAUACCAAAAACCAAACCAUUUUUCCCUCCGAGUAUGGGCGACAAAAAAGAAACACUUAUAAAGCUAUAGAAAAAGUACCGCAAGGGAACGCUGAAAAAGAAAUGAAACAUAACAAAGUUAAAAAAAGCAGAAAUUUACCCUCGUACCUUUUGCAUCAUGAUUUAGUAAGUAAAAACCAAGCAAAAAGCAUUUUAGUUUGACCCCCCGAAACUAAGUGAGCUACUCCAAGACAGCCUAUAAACAUAGGGCUAACCCGUCUCUGUGGCAAAAGAGUGGGGUGAACUUAGAGUAGAGGUGAUAGACCUACCGAACUUAGUCAUAGCUGGUUGCUUGAGAAUUGAAUAGAAGUUCAGCUUUUUGGUUUCUCAUAUCCAAAAUGCUUUAAUAUUACACCUGAAUUAAGAAACCAAAAAAGUUAGUUAAAGAGGGUACAGCCCCUUUAAACAAGACACAACUUCACCAGAUGGGUAAAGGUCAUAUUUAUUAAGGAAAAAUGUUUUAGUGGGCCUGAAAGCAGCCACCUGUAAGAAAGCGUUAAAGCUCCUUCAUAAUUCUAUCCAUUAAUCCCAAUAACCCUUUCCUAAACCCACUAACUUUAUCAAGCCACUCCAUGUUAACAUGGAUGAGAUCAUACUAAUAUGAGUAAUAAGAAAACUAGAUUUUCUCCAUGCACAAGUGUAACUCGAAACGGACCCCCCAUCGAACCUUACUUUUUCGGCCCCAAAAAAAGAGGGUAAUAGACCAUAACCUUAAUAACAAGAAAAGCAACCAAAAUACAACCGUUAACCCCACACUGGUGUUCUCACAAGGAAAGACUAAAAGAAAAAGAAGGAACUCGGCAAAUACAAGCCUCGCCUGUUUACCAAAAACAUCGCCUCUUGCUAAUUAAGAAUAAGAGGUCU